UUCAACUACGUCAUCCGGAACUUUAAACGGUUGCCAAGGCAAUCCAUGUAUUCACGGAGUGUGUUACGUCCAUCAAAACGAAUAUUUCUGUGUCUGUCAUGCCGGUUAUGGAGGACAAAACUGCCAGAUAGAUCAAGACGAAUGCAGUUCAUCUCC